GCGAGGGUGGCGGAACUGGCAGACGCACUGGAUUUAGGAUCCAGCGCCUUCGGGUGUGGGGGUUCGAAUCCCCCCUCUCGCACCA
rnacentral:tRNA from 3 species